UUUUGUACUAGGAGGUUCAGCACAGAAUUGUGGAAGCGGCGUUGUGUGCGGUGAACGUGAUACUGGCCACGGGACGGAUGGCGGUGAACUGGGCAAGAUCAUCUCAAGGGAGAUGUUUGAAGACUUGCUUCCGUAUAGAAAUGAUGCCCGAUGCCCUGCCAGAGGCUUCUACACUUAUGAUGCUUUUAUAGAGGCAGCCCAAGCUUUUCCAGGCUUUGGUAACUCUGGAAAUGAAACCAUGCGUAAAAGAGAAAUUGCUGCCUUUUUUGCCCAAACUGGCCAUGAAACUACUGGUUUGUUUCAAUUCCUGAUCAAAUUAAUUAAAUUUAAAGAUUCCUUUUUCCGGUGCACUAACAAGUAAUGUGCAAGUAUUAAAUUAUAAAUAAACAAUAUCACCCAAUCUCCAAUCGGUAUUUUAAUUUGUUACUAAUCAAUUUUUGUGGUUAAUAAACUUACAGGGGGAUGGACCGAUGCACCUGGUGGAGAAUAUGCUUGGGGAUAUUGCUAUAUUAGGCAAGUUAGCCCUGCGUCGUCCGACUACUGUUAUCCUUACUGUCCAUGUCCCUUGCCAGGGCAAUACUAUGGCCGAGGUCCAAUUCAACUCACUUGGUAGGCUGAACAUUUUGAAUUAGUAUAUCAUUGUCUGAUCUGAAUGAGAAAGUCUUGCCCUCUUGAAUUGAAAACUUGUUAAAUGUGCAUUUACAUUCUAUCCAACAUUAAUUAUUCACUAACUUCUUGGUGUACAGGAAUUGCAAUUACUUAAGGUGCGGAGAAGCCUUGGGGGUGGACUUGUUGAACAAUCCAGACCUACUUGCCACUGAUCCAGUACUAUCAUUCAAGUCAGCAAUCUGGUUCUGGAUGACUGCACAGCCACCAAAGCCAUCGUGCCACGAAGUCAUUAUCGACGAAUGGAAACCAUCAGCAAAUGACGUAAACGCCGGCCGGCUUCCGGGAUACGGUCUAACCACAAAUAUAAUCAACGGUGGAAUUGAAUGUGGCUACGUUGGGAAUGACGCUGUACGUAACCGUAUUGGGUUCUUUACCACUUUCUGUGGCAAGUUUGGGAUUCAGCCUGGUGACAAUCUUGAUUGCUCCAACCAACGGCCUUAUGGCCUUAAUCUGAUGGCACAAUCUAUGUGAUCAUCAUGAUCAACGUUUUAGUAAAAUAAGCUUAAUAAAAGCUACUUAAUAAAAACUUUAGAUGUCACACUUGUAGGUGGACAACUAAACUGUUACGCUCUUAUUGUAAGUAAAUUAAAUAAGACUGAUCCAACAUGGAUCAAUGAGUCUUCUCCAUCUUUCAUCGUUUGAUUAUUUUAACAUGACAAUUAUUUGCAACGCAAAAAGUGCCGUUGACACUUAUCCUGCCUAUACAGAUAAAGGCAAUAUCCAAUUCUGUAAGCCACAUGCAUAUUCAACGGCAUUGCUAUUCAUCAUCAUGAUGCUCAUUGUGGUACAGAUUAUAAAAUUUUGAUUAGGUCUGCUAUCCAACGUGGCUUGUCUCUCACUUGGAGGAAAUGCCUGGCAAACGAGUCAUGCAUGCAUCAAAUCAUUAUGAAGUUAGUACGCGUAUUGCUGCAGAAAUCACCCUACUACAAAGACAGCUAGAACAUUUUUGGAUACCUAAGCCCUGGGAAGUUAGUCUACCAUGUGGAUCUCAAUAAUAGAUAAUACUUUAUCAUCUAGUAGGCGACAAUAGGAAACUUCACAACAAUGAUUUCUAUUUUAAAAUUGGAUACAAUUUGCCAUAAACAAAAAUAAGGGGUUCUCUAAGAUGUUUGAACCAAUGAUUUAAUGGGGAAAAGAAUCUGAAGAAUUUACAGUUAAGUUUCACCUGUUCAUCCUACGCAUUCAUUUAUUUUUACUUCAAAGAAGGCGAAAUGAUAAUCAAGUAUCAUCUAGCAAUAUUUAAGAGUGAAAGCAACCGAUACUGAGAUGGAAGAAAGGUGAUAUACCAGACAAACAAUUUGUUUUUUGUAUAUAAUUUCAUUUCUAUAGGAUGAUACAGGUAUAUUUCAAUCAUUUACAAGUAUGACAAUAAAAUUUGUAAUCUAAUUGUUGAGGAUGUUGAGAAAGGAGACUCUAGCUUUGAUCAAACGCCUAGACAAGGAUCAAAGGCCUUCUUCAAGAUCUUGGAUGCUGGACUCCAAUUCUUUCAGCUGGUUUUGCAAAUAAACAGUGUUAACAGAUUUGAGUGUCAAUGCGGCAUCCACCUUCUCAAACUCAUUCGUUUCUAUCUUGACUUCCUCACAAGCUAUUCUUUUGGGGCGGAUGAGUUUGGAAGCCAAUACAAACCCACUUAGCUUUGAUGGAAUCCCAGCACCCGAGAUAAAGGACAGCAAGGAUCCAAAUGCAGCUAAGGUUACUGCUUCAACCUCUUUCAACGCGCUAACAUGUUCCUCAUUGAUUAGAGAAGAGCAUUUGUUUCCCAUGCCUUACAAACAAUAACCAAAAUAGCACACGUAAACAACACAGUUUAUAAAUGAUUCUAUCCAUAACUGAUUUUAUGUAAUAUUCAUUUGUGUAUGCAGGCGAGCAGAUCAACACAGAACAAAAGGAAGACUACCAGAAAUGAUCAAAUCUAGGAAGUUGCUGUGUUAUCGUAAUAUCACACUAUAAUUAAAAAUGACAGCACAUUAAUUCAGAAUUAACAAACUUCAAAGUGAAAGCAAAAACAGGCAUGUACCUCUAAAAACAACAUUGUGAGGAGUUUUAGUACAAUGCUGUUGAAGAAUGUUAGCAUCAUCAUAUGCAGGCGGUGAAUUACUGAAUUCUGCAACAGUGAACAACUUUUGAUAAGCUUAACGCAGAAAAGGAAAAAGAGAGGGCGAAGGAGAGAGAGAAGUGCACAUAAAAUAUGAAAAAACAGUGAUAGAUAUUGAACAAGAAGUAUAACUUCAUGCACCUGAAAUAUCAAUUUGUAUAUCAGAUGCUCCAGAGAAGUCCCUGAGUCUAACAUGAUAAACAAAUCAGAUUAUAGUCAAAUGGCAAUCAAACUAAAAAGCAAUAGUCCAAAGAAACAUACAGCUCAUCAGUGCUAAAAUUCAUCUCAGGAUCAUUAAGGCAUUCGGAAAUCCACCCCUCUAAUGACUGAUCUGUACCAUCACAACUAGAGGCAGAUACACCUGCUAAGAUAUGUCACAAUAUGAUUAGAGAACUCGAAAAUAGACAUUCAAGUUCUUGACUGUAUCAUAAUGUAGUUGCAAAAUACAAACCUGAAAACUCAGUAGUCCACUGAGAUGCUUCAGGUAAUACUUCUUCGACUGACUCCCCCCUCUCCUACACAGAAUGAAGAACAUAAAUAUUAGCAAUGUUGAAAGGACAAGCAAGGAGCAAUUUAGACAUAUGAUCAAAUAACUAAAACGUGCUCCAUAAUAUAAAGACAUGAUGCUAUUACAGAAUGAUCACAAAGAAGAGAUGUGGCCCGCACUGACAUUUGAUUUAAGGAACGGAGAUGGCAUUUCAUCACUGCAUAGGGAAGAAUCUACCACUUGAGUGUCAAAUUGUAACAUUCGUCGCCUCUUUAUUUGGGAAUAAGUCUCCCUACAAUCUUUUGGUUCCUUGCUCAUAUUACCUGAAAUCAACUCUCUCAAAUAAAAAAAAAACAUUGUCCAACCAGCAUGAUCUUUCAACGCAAGAAAAAGAAAUUGUGAGAGUCAAUGAAUGCUAGCAAAACAAGCCCCUACCGUUAUGAGUGGCAUGGUAAGCCAAAUCCCCACAUGCCUUAACCGGGGUUGUUUCAUCAUCAAGCAUGUAGGAAAGAUCCUCCCCAUUCAGAGCCACUUCAUUCCAUUGUGACCCAGACAUGUCUGCUAAAAUAAAAAAAUGACACAUACCCAGAUAUCACCACUCUCAUUCUACACGCCAAGCUUGGCCAAAAUCACUAGUUUCUGUAAAACACUUGAAUAACAUGCAAACUACACAUCGAGUCCUUUCCAAUUCCAAGACUUACGAUAACCAGUUUAACAAUCACCAAAUACACUUCCAAUGCACGAUAUAUAAACAAAUUUUUAGAAAUACAAGUCAUGAAAUUUCUCCGAUAAAAAAAAAAAAAUUCCAAUUUGUAUUGAGUCAGCCAUUGUGAAUAAGCUUUCUAAAUUCUAAUAGCAUUUGAGUCAAUUAUAAAAAACAAUAUACCAGAUUAAAUUUACUAAAAGAUUAAAAAAACAAAACAAUAGAAAAUCAAAUUACACACGAAACCCUAGAUUGUCUAUUUCAAGCAAAGUAUGUAACUUAUAAUAAAAUUAAAUGCAGAUUUGAGAACCCAAAAAUACCACAAUUGAAUUAGAGAGUGUUAUUAGUUAGGGUUUUAAUGAGAAUGAAAAACACUGAGGAAACCGGGAACGUGCAGGAUAAAAAGCAUUACCAGUGGAAGCGUAAGAUAGAGAACGGCAAGUUAAAGUGCGCCUCGAGGAAUAGAGACACAGAGAGAGAGACGAGCACCCCAAGCACUGUAAGUAACUGGGAGUGGAAAAUAAAGGGGUCGUUUGAUUUUGUCGUCUUCUACUUCCUCCUCUUUGUUAGUUUUUGUUUUUUUUUUUUAAAUGAGUGUGGCAACGUGAAUCACCCAAUUUUUUUUAUGGGUCCCGUUACCUUACAAAAUAUGUAACAAACAUUAAAGAAAUUGACAAACAAAUCAACAACAUUAUAAUUUGGAUUUUACCGAUUGAAGCGGUCUGUAGCCGGUUGAAAAAAGUAAGUCGAAAGAUGAAUAAUUUCUCCUAUAGCGUGUGCAACCCAAAGCGACAUGAUUUCUUUGAACUCUCAGGCUGAGGAAACUUCCUACUUGCGCAUAUCCGCCCGCCCUGAGCGAGAAAACGAACAGAUCGAGGUCGGAAUGGGAUCCGGUGUUUUCACGUCUCACCGUAGUGCCCGGUUUGGCGGUUCAGCUUGCUUCUAUGGCUCACGCAUGAACAGCAACACUCAUGCAGAUUGACAUGGAUGAUCCUUGGGGUUACUUUUUUUAUUUUUAUUAAGAGCUUUAUCCGAUUUGCUGCCAAACGCUUCAAAAAGAGAGUUUUUGCUGUCCAUUUGAAGCCGGUGAAAGAUGCAGUCUCAUGUGAAAGAUGCAGUUUCAUGUCCUGCUCGUAUUGGAUGCAAAAAAUCGAAAGUUUAAUUAGAUUCAUUCUAGUUUUUUUCCUGAGUUGAUUAAAAAGACUGGACAUAACUUAUGGAUUUUAUGCAUUAUGCUGCCUCUUCAUCAAAUAACUCAAAAAUGAAUCCUUUGUAAUUUUGAUGUGGACUAAUUGGGGAGCAAGAAAGGGUGUGCUUUUUAAAAGAUGAAGAUGCAAAGAAGGUUUUUUCUAAAGCCAAAGCCACUUCACCGUUUGUGCUGAGAGUAGUCAUCAAUGAGGUAUUAAUUUUUAACUCCAUUGAUGCAAGCUCCAAGGAACUUUUCAUGGUCGCCUGCCCCUGAAUAUUUGUAUAAAUUAAAUCUUGAAGAUGUAAUGUUUGAUCAUAAAUCAAGGGGCAGGAGUUGGUGCUAUUAUAAAAAAAAAAAAAAAAAAUUUCAUAGUUGCUGUGAAAACCAGCUUUAAUGGCACUGAAUCGAAUUACAAAAAGGAAAAUUUCUUGCCUCCUGAAUCGAAUUCAAACAGUAACCCUUGCUUUGACCCGGUGGCCCAAGCGGUUUUCUUUCACCAGUUUUCCCAGUUUCCCAUCACUUCUUUUUUUCUGUUCAUUUCAUUCCCAUUCGUUCGAUUUUAGUGUUCACAUCUAACGGCCCUCAUUCAUGCAAUGUUUGUUACAUGAUGAUGUAACUUAACCUGACCUUUUUUACAUUCUAUUUAUAAAAAUAAAUUCAUUAUUAAAAAUUAAAAAUAUCAAAAUUACUUUUUGCUAACUAUUUUUUAUUUUGUAAUUACAUAUUCUCUCUCUACUUUUAUAUUAUAUAAAUUAAAUUCCCAACUUUACAUUUUUUUAAAUUUAUUUUUUUGACAUUUCUUAGUAUAUUCUAAUCUAUAUUCAUACUUUAUGUAUGCAAAAUAUUUUUUUCUUGAUACUUACUAACUUUUGUGUUUAGUAAAAAUUAAUUUAUUGAUAUUCAUUAAUUUUCAUUACUUAUAAAAUUUGUUAAUAUUCAUUUUAAAAUAGUGGAUUUUUUAAACUAAUGAUAUCAAUUACUUGCGGUUAAAAUAAUAUAUAUAAAUAAAUUGAUGGAAUUUAUGAAAUUGAAAAGAAAAAGAGAAGAAAUAGUUAAUUAAGUAAUUUUUUUAAAAAUCAUUCAAAUAAUAUAAUUUUUAAGAGGGGGCUAUUUGAACACACCAGUUUUCUCUCUACAUUCUUUUUCUAAUUGAGAAUUUUAUUAUCUAAAUAGUUUUCAAUAAAAUUACUUAAUUAACUCUUUCUUCUCUUUCUCAUCUCAAGUUCACAAAUUCCCAUCAAUCCAUUGAGAUAUAUUUUUUUAGUCACAAAUAAUUGAUAUCACAAACUAGGGAAAACAAAAUCCACAGUUUAAAUUAAAUGUCAACAAAAUUUUAUGAGUCAUGAAAGUCAAUAAAUAUCAAGAAAUUAAAUUUUAAUAAACAGGAAAUUAAUGAACAUCAAGAAAAAGUUUUUAUAUAUAAAAAGUAUGAAAUAGAGGUCAUGAUCUAUUAGAAAAGACCAAAAAUGAAUUUAAAAAAUAGUGAAACUUGAGUCUUUAGUUUAUAAAAUGUGAGAAUUUGCAAUUGUCAGGUAUAGAGAGAGAUUCAUGAAAGGUAAUCUUGAUAUUUUCAAAUAGUCCCAUCUAAUAUUUGAUUGGAAAGCGCGUGUGGACAGAAAAUUAGCGGACUCAAAUAGCCCCACUCUUUCUUUAAUUUCGCAUUGACCCCGAUUAUUUUGUGAUUUUCUCCUUUUAGUCAAUAUUAAUUGUUGUUACUGGAUUUUCCCCUGAGACCUAGAGCGAGCCCAUAACGUUCAUGCUCGAGGACUUCCCUGCCCCGAGAACCAAGCCCAAUAAUCUUGAGGCCUUUGCAGGUUUAUCCAGGAAAGGUGCCUCUGCUAGGAUAAGAAAAGUCAAUUCGGGUUGUGAGUCGAUCCUCAGCCUAGUAAGUGAUGACAGCGUACAGUAAUGAUCUUUGACAAACACCAAAAGAUCGAUUAAUAUGAAAAUGACGAUGUGCUCGUUUUGCAUUUGUUAUUCUUCAGUCACAUCCUCUUUUGCUUCUGUCUGCCUUUACAACAACAAUUUACCAUCAACCUUCAAGCAUUUUUGCACAAACAGCCAAAAAAACACCAAAUAUCAUCGCCCCACUUGCCCUUGUUUAGUUUUUUUCAAGCUCACAGCCAAUCUCAGUACACUGGGAUAAAGACUAGAAGCAGAGAACAGCCGCUGCCAGCUCUAGAAGAUGUGAAAUAAAGAAGACCAUCAAAAUCCUUAAUUAUUGCUUGUCUAUGUCAAGGUUUUAAAGAUAAACAAUCUUGAUAGGCUUUCUUACGUAAGACAUAUAGAUCCAACGAAAAUUAGAUGAAACGUUUAGACACAAGACUUUUAACUUUGAUAUCGUAUAAAGAGUAUAUUUAUAAUAUAAUCUAUUGUUUGGCACAUCGUCUCUGAGUCUCAAUAAAAAAUUUUUAAGUUUUUCGUUGCUAGCUUCUUAAAUUUUCAUGUAUUAUACAUAAUAUAUUAUGAGUGAGGAGUCAUAAACUAAUGAAUAUGGAAACUUAGGAUAAAAAGUUUGAGAUUUUUUUAAAUAAUUUAUGUAGGUAUUUUAUUUUAUAGAAGUCCAUGGACUUACUCAAAUGCUAACUAAGACUUGAGGGUUGCCUAAACUUUUAUAUACCUAACCAAAAAUUUAUUAUCAAACAAUGUGAGAUAUUAUCCCUAACCCUUAACGGUGUGGAGUACAAUCCUUAAUAACAUAUUCCUUUGAAGAAAUUAAAAGAAAAAAAACUUAGUUCGGUAUUUCAAAAAGGGGAGAUUGCCAAAUUCUCUUUAUUGUUAUUGAUAUAUAUCAUUUACCCUCUUAACGGUUUUUAUAAUAGCCAAUAACCCCUUAACAACAUUAGUUUAUAAUAUUAUUCAUAUUUUCAAAUACACUUUUAUUUUUAUUUAUUAUAAAUUAAAUAAAUCAUAUGAAUAGAAACUGAAUAAAAAAUAAGUAUUAAAAACAAUAAAUAUAUGUUUUGAUGUGAACAAAAAAAUUAGUAAUAAAAUUUUUUCUUGUACUUUUUUAUUUUCUAAACAUUUUCUUCUAAUAAAUAUUUUGUAAAUUAUAAAAUUAAAUGUAAAAAGUACAAUAACAAUAUUUUAUUAUUUAUUUUAUAAUAAUUUUUUAUUUAUCAUUCAAGUUUUCUUAUAAUAAUUUUUUUAUAAAAUAAAAAGUAUAAGAAAAAUAAUUUAUUAUUAAUUUUUAUAUCAAAAUAUAUAUUUCUUAUUUUUAAUACUUAAUUUUUUAUUUUAAUUUCUAUUCAUAUGAUUUAUUUAAUCUAAAAUAAAUAUGAAUAAGAGUGUAAUUAAAAAUAAGGAUAAUAUUAUAAAUUUAUACAAUUAAGAGAGUUAUUAGUUAUUAUAAAAAUAAUAAGAGACAAAUGUUAUAUAUCGAUUACAGUAUUGGGAAAAUUAGCAACCUCUCUUCAAAAAACCUUGACAUAUACGUUCUAUAAAUAUAACCCUCUAGCCAAAGCUGUGACAUACACCAAGCAGAGGAUAAUUGAUAUCAUAACUGUUGCUUUCAAAAUGAGGCUUAUUGGGUCCUUACUAAUUUUCUCUCUAGUUUUAUCUUUUGUACUAGGAGGCUCAGCACAGAACUGUGGAAGCGGCGUUGUGUACGGUGGACGUGAUACCGGCCAUGGGACGCAUGGCGGUGAACUGGGCAAGAUCAUCUCAAGGGAGAUGUUUGAUGACUUGCUUGAGUAUAGAAAUGAUGAACGAUGCCCUGCCAGAGGCUUCUACACUUAUGAUGCUUUUAUAGAGGCAGCCCAAGCUUUUCCAGGCUUUGGUAACUCUGGAAAUGAAACCAUGCGUAAAAGAGAAAUCGCUGCCUUUUUUGCCCAAACUGGCCAUGAAACUACUGGUUUGUUUCAAUUCCUGAUCAGCUUAAUUAAAUUUAAAGAUUCCUUUUUCCGGUGCACUAACAAGCAAUGUGCAAGUAUUAAAUUAUAAAUAAACAGCAUCACCCAAUCUCCAAUCGAUAUUUUAAUUUGUUACUAAUCAAUUUUUGCGGUUAAUAAACUUACAGGGGGAUGGCCCGAUGCACCUGGUGGCGAAUAUGCUUGGGGAUAUUGCUUUAUAAGCGAAGUUAGCCCUCCGUCCGACUACUGUGAUCCUAACUAUCCAUGUCGAGGGAAGUACUAUGGCCGAGGUCCAAUUCAACUCUCUUGGUAGGCUGAACAUUUUGAAUUAGUAUAUCAUUGUCUGAUCUGAAUGAGAAAGUCUUGGCCUCUUUAAUUAAAAACUUGUUAAAUGUGUAUUUACAUUCUGUCGAACAUUAAUUAUUAACUAAUUUGUUGGUGUUUAGGAAUUACAAUUACUUACGGUGCGGAGAAGGCCUAGGGCUAGGAGAGGAGUUGUUGAACAAUCCAGACCUUCUUGCUACUGAUCCAGUACUAUCAUUCAAGUCAGCAAUCUGGUUCUGGAUGACUGCACAGCCACCAAAGCCAUCGUGCCACGAAGUCAUUAUCGACGAAUGGAAACCAUCAGCAAAUGACGUAAACGCCGGCCGGCUUCCGGGAUACGGUCUAACCACAAAUAUAAUCAACGGUGGAAUUGAAUGUGGCUAAGGUGGGAAUGCCGCUGUACGUAACCGUAUUGGGUUCUUUACCACUUUCUGUGGCAAGUUUGGGAUUCAGCCUGGUGACAGUCUUGAUUGCUACAACCAACGACCUUAUGGCCUUAAUCUGAUGGCACAAUCUAUGUGAUCAUCAUGAUCAACGUUUUAGUAAAAUAAGCUUAAUAAAAGCUACUUAAUAAAAACUUUAGAUGUCACACUUGUAGGUGGACAACUAAAUUGUUAGUUUGUUACGCUCUUAUUGUAAGUAAAUUAAAUAAGACUGAUCCAACAUGGAUCAAUGAGUCUUCACCAUCUUUCAUCGUUUGAUUAUUUUUUUGAGUUUUUUUGUUAAAAUUUUGUACGUUUGUGGUUAGUUAUUUUAACAAAAUAAUUAGUCGAGAAAGGUAAAUGUUUUGGGGGUGAGAAAUACCACGAUCAGGCACACGAGGAGAAUGUGCUCCCUCUGCCUAGAAUGACUCCUUGAGGAAGAUUAGACCCGAUGAAGUGUGUGGCUGGUCACACGAGUAGAGUUGGCUCGAGACAUGCAAGGAGGGACCAGAACCAAGUCAAUUCGAAGACUUGGUCAAAGGUCAACCCGUGGGUUUCCUCCAAAGAAUUUGGGCACAAAGCUCACUCACCAGCAGUUACACUGCCCAUUCGCCCAUGGUUAUGUAAUCAACCCAUCAACGAAGUCGAGGGAGAAGAGGCUAAUAAUUCUGGUUGGAUAUGAAAGCUUCAGAGAACAGAGUUAAGGGAGUUAGACAACUUUUCAUUUAAUUUUCUCAUACUCUCAAUCUAUUCACAAUUUUAUCUUCUCUAUCAUUCUUUCUUUCUGAAAUAAAACCUUUCUUUUAUUUAGAGCAGUUUAAUUACGCCAUGGGAAUCGUGACCUAAGUUUUUCUAGGCAAACCCAAAUCGCUGACUUGAGCGUCGGAGGGAUUACGGUGGAAAAACCUCUAGCAUCUCCUGACUAGUUGUUGUGAACACAUGUGUUCUUGGAGGAAGUAUUUGAGGUCACAUGAACUUGUUCGAUAGUGGGGAAGCUAGGGGCAGAUCCAGGAUUUUAAAGUACCCCGAGCUAAAUUUUUUAUAAAAAAAAGUUAUAUUGUAAAGUGAACAUAAAAUUUUAUAAGAAAAAAAUAAAAUACACAUAAUAAGAUGAGAACAUUAGAAAUCUUACACUAAAUAAUAAUUACUUUAAAUAAAAUAAUUAUAUAAAAAUAAAAAAUAAAAAUAUAAUUCAAAACAAAAAUAUAACUAAAGUUGUAUUUUUCGCAACUUCAAACAAUAAAAUUCAUCAAUUAUGGAUUUUGGAUCAAUAGUAUCUGCAAUUUCUCUUUCAGCAUAGACAACCAUACAAUUAGAAAGAAACUCAUUUUCUAUUUUAUUGCAAAGUGAUGUCUUGAUAAGGCUCAUGGUUGAAAAUGCAUGCUCUGUUUGUGGCUGCAAAUGAAAGGAGUUUCUUGACUUGGAUUUAUCGGACACAUUAUACCUAUAAAUUACCAUAACAUGAAACUACAUAAGAAUUAAUAAAUUAACUAAUAAUUACAAGCUUAAUUAGCAUGCUUAAAUAAAUUAAACAAUUCAAUUUUUUUCAUCUUUUCUAUUUCUAAAAAAUAUUAUUAGUAAAAAAAUGAGAUGAAGAUUACACGAAAUUGCAGAUACUAUUAUUAGUAAACAAUUCACACUUGACUAACAUGCAAACAACACAUUGAGUCCUUGCCAAUUCCAAGACUUGCGAUAACCAGUUGCACAAUAUAUAAACAAAUUUUUAGAAAUACAAAUCAUGAAAUUUCUCCCCAAAAAUUAAAAAAAAAAAUCCAAUUUGUAUUGAGCCAGCCAUUGUGAUUAAGCUUUCUAAAUUCUAAUAGCAUUUGAGUGAAUUUUAAAAAACGAUAUACCAGAUUAAACUUACUAAAAUAUUAAAAAAAUAGAAAAUCAAAUUACAUACGAAACCCUAGAUUGUUACUUCAAUCAAAAUAAGUACCUUCUAAUAAUUUUAAAUGCAGAUUUGAGAACUCAAAAAUACCACAAUUGAAUUCGAGUGUUAUUAAUUAGGGUUUUAAUGAGAAUGAAAAACACUGAGGAAACUGGGAACGUGCAGGAUAAAAAGCAUUACCAGUGGAAGCGUAAGAUAGAGAACGGCAAGUUAACGUGCGCCUCGAGGAAUAGAGAUAGAGAGAGAGAGAGACGAGCACCCCAAGCACUGUAAGUAACUGGGAGUGGAGAAAUGGCACGAGUGGAAAAUAAAGGGGUCGUUUGGUUUUGUCGUCUUCUACUUUUGUUUUGUGUUUUUUUUUUUUUUUUAAAUGAGCGUGGGUAUCUGAAUCAUCCAAUUUUUUUUUAUAUUCUAUUUAUAAAAAUAAAUUCAUUAUUAAAAAUUAAAAAUAUCAAAAUUACUUUUUACUAAUUAUUUUUUAUUUUAUAAUUACAUAUUCUCUCUCUACUUUCACAUUCUAUAAAUAAUUUUUAAGUAAUUUUUUACAAAUCAUUCAGAUAAUAUAAUUUUUAAGAGUGAGGUUAUUUGAAUCCACCAAUUUCAUCUCUAUAUCUUUUUCUAAUUGAGAAUUUUAUUAUCUAAAUAGUUUUUAAUAAAAUUACUUAAUUAACCCUUUCUUCUCUUUCUUAUUUCAAUUUCACAAAUUCUCAUUAAUUCAUUGAGAUGUAUUCUUUUAACUGCAACUAGGAAAAAUAAAAUCCACAGUUAAAAUUGAAUGUCAACAAAUUUUUAUGAGUCAUGAAAGUUAAUGAAUAUUAAGAAAUUAAUUUUUAGUAAACACAAAAGUUAAUGAAUAUCAAGAAAAAGUUCUUAUAUAUAGAAAGCAUGAAAUAAAGGUUAUGAUCUACUAGAAAAGACCAAAAAUGAAUUCAAAAGAUAGUAAAAUUGAGUUUUUAAUUUAUAGAAUGUGAGAAUAAAAAGAGAAUAUGCAAUUGUAAGGUAUAGAGAAAGAUUAAUCGAGGAUAAUCUUGAUAUUUUCAAAUUUUAAAAUUUUAAUAAUGAAUUUAUUAUUUUUUAAAAAUAGGUAUAGAGAGAAAUUUGGUGGGAUCAAAUAGUCCCACCUAAUAUUUAAUUAGAAAGAUGGUGUAAGGAGAAAGUUGGCAGAUUCAAAUAGCCCUACUCUUUCUUUAAUUUUGCAUUGACCCCGGUUAUUUUAUGAUUUUCUCCUUUUAGUCAAUAUUAAUUGUUGUUACUGGAUUUUCCCCUGAGACCUAGAGCGAGCCCAUAAUGUUCAUGCUCGUGGACUUCCCUGCCCCGAGAACCAAGCCCAAUAAUCUUGAGGCCCUUGCAGGUUUAUCCAAGAAAGGUGCCUCUGUCAGGAUAAGAAAAGUGAAUUUGGGGUUUUGAGUCGAUUUUCAGCCUAAUAACAGCGGACGGUCAUGAUCUUUGACAAACAUCAAAAGAUCGAUUAAUAUGAAAAAAUCCAUCACAAUAACCAUGUGUAUGAGUGUGAGUGUGAGUGUGAGUGUGAGCGUGAGCGUGAGUUAUUUUAAUUUCUAGGCAUUUAUUGAAUGAAAUUGACGAUUGCUCGUUUUGAAUGUGUUAUUUUUCAGUCACAUCCUAUUUUUGCUUCUAUCUGUCUUUACGACAAAAUUUUAUCAUCAACCUGCAAGCAAUCAUGCACAAGCAGCCAAAAAAAAACCUAUUAUCAUCGCCCCACUGGCUCUUAUUUUCAAGCUCAAAACCAAUCUCAGUACAUUGGGAUAAGGCGAGAUGCAGAGAACAGCCACUGCCAGCUCUAGAAGAUGUGAAAUAAAGAAGACCAUCAAAAUCCUUAAUUAUCGCUUGUCUAUAUCAUGGUUUUAAAGACAAACAAUCUUGAUGGGCUCUCUUACAUAAGACGUAUAGAUCCAAUGAAAACUAGAUCGAAACGUUUAGACACAAGACUUUUGCUUUGAUAUCAUAUAAAGAGUAUAUUUAUAAUACAAUGUAUUAUUGUUUGGCACAUUGUCUCUAAGUCUCAAUAAAAAAAUUUAAGUUUUUCGUUGUUAAGUUCUUAAAUUUCAUGUAUUAUACAUAAUAUAUUAUGAGUUGGGAGUCAUAAACUCAUGAAUAUGGAAACUCAGGAUAAAAAGUUUGAGUUUUUUUUUAAAUAAUUUAUUUAGGUAUUUUUUUUAUAGAAGUCCAUGGACUUACUCAAAUGCUAACUAAGUCUUGAGGGUUGCCUAAGCCUUUAUAUACCUAACCAAAAAUUUAUUAUCAAACAAUGUGAGAUAUUAUCUCUAACCCUCAACGGUGUGGAGUACAAUCUUUAAUGACAUAUUCCUUUGAAGAAAUUUAAAAAAAAAAAAAACUUGGUUAGGUAUUUCAAAAAGGGGAGAUUGCCAAAUUCUCUUUAUUAUAAUUAAUAUAUAUCAUUUACUCCCUUAACUGUUUUUAUAAUAGCCAAUAACUCCUUAACAACAUUAGUUUAUAAUAUUAUCCUUAUUUUCAAAUACACUUUUAUUUUUAUUUAUUAUAAAUUAAAUAAAUCAUAUGAAUAGAAACUGAAUAAAAAAUAAGUAUUAAAAACAAUAAAUAUAUGUUUUGAUGUGAACAAAAAAAUUAGUAAUAAAAUUUUUUCUUGUACUUUUUUAUUUUCUAAACAUUUUCUUCUAAUAAAUAUUUUGUAAAUUAUAAAAUUAAAUGUAAAAAGUACAAUAACAAUAUUUUAUUAUUUAUUUUAUAAUACUAUUUUAAUUUCCAUUCAUGUAAUUUAUUUAAUCUAUAAUAAAUAUGAAUGAGAGUGUGAUUGAAAAUAAGGGAAAUAUUAUAAAUUUAUAUUAUUAAGAGAGUUAUUAGUUAUUAUAAAAAUAAUAAGAGAUAAAUAAUAUAUAUUUAUUACAGUAUAGGAACCUCUCUUCAAAAAACCUUGACACAUACGUUCUAUAAAUAUAACCCUCUAGCCAAAGCUGUGACAUACACCAAGCAGAGGAUAAUUGAUAUCAUAACUGUUGCUUUCAAAAUGAGGCUUAUUGGGUCCUUACUAAUUUUCUCUCUGGUUUUAUCUUUUGUACUAGGAGGCUCAGCACAGAACUGUGGAAGCGGCGUUGUGUGCCCAGGAGGGGAGUGUUGUAGUCGAUUUGGUUGGUGUGGCCUAACAACAGACUACUGUUGUGAAGGCUGCCAAAGUAACUGUAAUCAGGUUGUUUGCGGUGAAUGUGAUCCCGACGACGGGACGGCUGGCGAUGGCGGUGAACUGGGCAAGAUCAUCUCAAGGAAGAUGUUUGAAGACUUGCUUGAGUAUAGAAAUGAUAAACGAUGCCCUGCCAGAUGCUUCUACACUUAUGAUGCUUUUAUAGAGGCAGCCAAAGCUUUUCCAGCCUUUGGUAAUUCUGGAAAUGAAACCAUGCGUAAAAGAGAAAUUGCUGCCUUUUUUGCCCAAACUGGCCAUGAAACUACUGGUUUGUUUCAAUUCCUGAUCAGCUUAAUUAAAUUUAAAGACUCCUUUUUCCGGUGCACUAACAAGUAAUUAAAUUUUAAUUUGUUACUAAUCAAUUUUUGUGGUUAAUAAACUUACAGGGGGAUGGCCCGAUGCACCUGGUGGCGAAUAUGCUUGGGGAUAUUGCUUUAAUAGGGAAGUUGGUGCUGCGUCGUCCGACUACUGUGAUCCUAACUAUCCAUGUCGAGGGAAGUACUAUGGCCGAGGUCCAAUUCAACUCACUUGGUAGGCUGAACAUUUUGAAUUAGUAUAUCAUUGUCUGAUCUGAAUGAGAAAGUCUUGCCCUCUUGAAUUGAAAACUUGUUAAAUGUGCAUUUACAUUCUAUCCAACAUUAAUUAUUCACUAACUUCUUGGUGUACAGGAAUUGCAAUUACUUAAGGUGCGGAGAAGCCUUGGGGGUGGACUUGUUGAACAAUCCAGAC
rnacentral:lncRNA from 1 species